GCAUAGCAGGGUUAGCAUGAAAAAAGUGCCCCCAAAGGAACUAAAGCAUAUGAUACAUCAUUCGAAAGGUCUUGGCCUAGAACUACUUUUAGUGUAGGUAACAUCUGAGAUUUUUAUCAGAUUUUUUGGACCCUUAUUUAAGGGUGAAAAAAUUCAGAGAAAAAUUCUGCGAUUUUUUUUCGUACGUUGGAGGUACAGAACUAACUCGGUAUUUUGACCAUUGAUUGGUCUUAUGGACUGGACAUGUAUUUUGCAUAAUUUUUUCAGAUUUUU